rnacentral:lncRNA from 1 species
GCUUCGAGGCAAAAGCCCCAAUUUUGUUUAUGGAGCAGAUUAUUUUUUACCUUCAUAGAUGGACAGCCAAAGGAGGGGAAAUAUCAAUCCAGUAUCACUGAAAUCCUCCAAAGGUUAUCUGACAAGCAGUGGGGAGGAUGAUUAAACUUCGAGCCGAAAGUGUAACGGAAUGAAUUAAGAGGGUGAGUACGGAGCAUGGGGG